UAAGACUCAAGAUAUGUCCGUUAGCUCGAUAUUUUAACUUUGAGCUGAUUUUUUUUCGGCUUAAAGUUUAAGCUACAUAUGAAAAUGGACUUAAUUGUUCAGUUAAUUGUGUUUGUUUAAAUUAGGUUAGGUUAGGUCUUCGCUAAUAAGGGUCACUAUGACCAAAGAAAGGCCCGGAGGGCAUAAGACAAUCAAACCGAACCUUAAGCCGAGAAAAAAAUCAGCUGAAAAUUGAAAAUAUCGAGCUGACGGACAUAUCUUGAGUCUUACCGAAAAAUAUCGAGUAUGAUAUUAUAUCGGAACAUCACUAUAAAGAUUCUUUAUUCUAGUUGUCAACUAGUGAUGUGCGAUUAUUGGAUUUGCCAAUAAUCGAUUGUGAUGCAAUAAUUUUUACCAAAAUCGAUGAUCAUCGAUAUUUGGUCGAAAGAGAAAAAGACAGAGGAAAAAGAAAGAGAAAUAGAAAAGAGGGGAAAUUACGAUGCGAGGGAAAAGUUCAGUAGAAAAAGAAAGAGGCUAAAAAAUCGAUGUUUAAUUUUAAAUCAUCGACAUCGAAAUUUUCGACGAUCAUCGAUGAUAAUCGAUGAUUUCGAUGAUCACAAACAUCACUAUUGUUAACUAGUAGUUGACACCAUUUUAGUUUCUGAAACCACAUUAUCUUUUAGCUUCAGUUGACCAAGUUUCAUUCUCUCUCUUUGGAUUCACAAAAUUUUGACCACGGGUCUCGAUCAACAUGAAUAAAAACGACACGGCGGAAAUGGCUUGUGGUGUGAAUGACAUCAAACUUGAAGAUAAAGUGGACAUGAUAAGAGAACCAAAUAAUUGGCAAAUGUAUUUAUUUUUUGGUUAUUUUUGCCGUCCACUUGAUGACAAUGAACAGGAGCAGAAUGAACUCGUUAUAGGAAUCAAUAGAUCUCGUACUAGCGGAACACGAGAGUGGACCGAUCGUGAGGUUUGGUCAACCUACCGGAUGAUUACACGAGUCGCUGGAUCUUUUACUUGCUUGGAACAAUCGGAUUUCAACGAUUACUCACAACGGGCUAAGGCUGAAAUGCCACAAUAAUUAAAAAGCAAAUACCAGUACCCUACCAAUAAGAUCCAAAUGUAAUCGAGAGAGAAAAAAAAGGUCAAUAAUUUACCGUCAUUCGUAUUCGGUUAAAUUUAUUUAACAAGAAUUAAUAGAAUGAAUUUUGAUGUAAUUCCCUUUCAAUUAUUGUCUCUGUAUGGAUUAAUAGUGUCGAAGGAUAAGAAAACAACAAUUAAAAUAUGGAUUUGAUUUGA